rnacentral:rRNA from 1 species
UACGGGGGGGGCAAGCGUUGUUCGGAAUUACUGGGCGUAAAGGGCUCGUAGGCGGCCAACUAAGUCAGACGUGAAAUCCCCGGGCUUAACCUGGGAAUGGCGAUGGUGACUGCAAGGCUAGAGUUUGGCAGAGGGGGGUAGAAUUCCACGUGUAGCAGUGAAAUGCGUAGAGAUGUGGAGGAACACCGAUGGCGGAAGGCAGCCCCCUGGGUCAAGACUGACGCUCAUGCACGAAAGCGUGGGGAGCAAACAGG